rnacentral:rRNA from 1 species
UACGGGGGGGGCAAGCGUUGUUCGGAAUUACUGGGCGUAAAGCGCACGUAGGCGGAUCUUUAAGUCAGGGGUGAAAUCCCGGAGCUCAACUCCGGAACUGCCUUUGAUACAGCACGUCUUGAGUCCGGAAGAGGUGGGUGGAAUUCCUAGUGUAGAGGUGAAAUUCGUAGAUAUUGGGAAGAACACCAGUGGCGAAGGCGGCUCACUGGCCCGUAACUGACGCUGAGGUGCGAAAGCGUGGGGAGCAAACAGG